UUUGUUAAUCGCAAAGUGUCACAAAGUUUAGAUUUAUAUAAAUUAAAGUUAAAUGCUGUUUAUACAGCGUUUUUAAUUAAAAUAUCUACCAACAUUAGUGCGUUUAUUCUAUAGUGCUUCAUUCUGGCGUAAAUUUUCUGCGGGUUUUCCUAAACUUUGAUCGAGAUCACACUUGACGCCCAUAUGGUAGGUAUAAGUAUACCGUGAACGAAGUUCUCGGCGCUGUAAACUCUUUAUUUACACGGAUGUACCGCCACCGGGCUUAGGACACAUCACUUCGUGCCAGUGCAUUAAAUGGUUUAUGGAGGCGGCCGGUCCGACUGGCCAACAUUUCAGACGGGCGUACCGGACAAUGUGUCGACUAUCCUGCGACUGGCUGGUCGAUUGUACAUGAGCUACAUUUCGUUCUGUGUCACCCACAUGCGAACACCUGCUGUCCGGUUUCGACAACCUGGUUUUAGCCUGUCCGAUGUAUCUCGACAACAAUUUCGCUUUUGUAGAGUUCCGUUCGAUUGCUGAAACAACCUAUUCAAGGGCACUUUAGGGCAGUAUCCUGCACUAUCCCAUGCCAGAUACGACCGACUCUACUGUGCCAGCCAGAAAAACGUAAUAAGUGUAGUGAUUAGUACACUGAGGCAUGAUUCGCCGUACAAAAUCGCCAUUGGUGGCCGCCGAUUGAGUUGAGAUCUGAACCGGAACUUGUUUUCUUAUGCAAGCAGCGAGGCAAGCAGACACCUCGGCAGGAAAAUGAUGAAGAAUAAUGUGAUGAAUAACACCGUCCAUCACGCAGCACCAUCCAGCCUGAUAUCUAUUUCGAAACGCAUAAACACGGUUUCGAAGUUCCUCCGAAUGCUGAAGCCUUCCGUGCCGCUCUGUUUAACAUCACUCCAGCGAAAGUAAUCCGGAACCGAGCCCUGCAAGGAAAUUGCCCAAUAUCGACUCGCCCAAUCUGCGGAAAGUUCUGCCGUGGCCCAAGGAUGACUCAGCACCUACCGACGAUGACGAAAACGUGGAGAAACUUAUCAUCAUCGGCUUAUUUAGAACUGAAGAAGAUGAAUCAGUUGACCGGUUCAAGGUGUAUCGCCAUUGCAUGAGAACCGACCCCUGGAGGCGACUGGAUACAAGGCGAACGCCUUCAUAAUAGAUCAGAGCAUAUAGUGAGCUAAAAAUGAUUAUAUUUAUUAAACCGACAUGAUGUAUUGAAUAUACAAAUAUUUAAAAAAAAAAAACUAAGCUGAAAACUUAUUUAAGCAAGAAAACAUAA